rnacentral:sRNA from 1 species
CACUUGUUAUGCAUUGAGUUUAAUCGUUAUGCUCUUGUGAUAUGUUUUUUUUGGAAAAUGUGAUGAAUGAUGAUAUUGCGGCUGGCCGAGCUGGCUGGUUAAAGAACUCAACCAGACAGUAAAGUAAAACAGCCGCAUAGAUUAAACGGGAACUUAUAACCAGCUCUUGACUGUCCUAGCAUUGGCGGUGCGGGAUAGAAUCGUUCCUUACAUCAUGGAAUUGAUGCUCUCAUUAUCGGUCAUUGUGUAUUACUUGCUCUGUUAUUUGUUGUGAUCAAAACCUAGCUUCUGUU